rnacentral:rRNA from 1 species
AACCAGGAGGUUGGCUUAGAAGCAGCCAUCCUUGAAAGAGUGCGUAAUAGCUCACUGGUCAAGUGGUUCCGCGCCGACAAUGUAGCGGGGCUUAAGCACACCGCCGACGCCGCGGCAGUCCAUCGUGGUCCUAGCCUGUCCGUUGGGCGGGUUCAGGGGGUGGGCUGGGUAGGGGAGCGUCCCGCGUUGGGUGAAGUCUCGGGGUGACCCGGGGUGGACGGCGUGGGAGUGAGAAUGCAGGCAUGAGUAGCGAGAGGCGGGUGAGAAACCCGUCCGCCGAUUGACUAAGGGUUCCAGGGCCAGGUUGAUCCGCCCUGGGUUAGUCGGGUCCUAAGGCGAGGCCGACGGGCGUAGUCGAUGGACAACGGGUUGAUAUUCCCGUACCGGCGCUUGACCGUUCAAUGUUCGCCGGGGUGAUGCUAACCAUCCCCGAUCCUGUGUGUCUCUUUCGGGAGGCGUGUGGGGGAGGGCGUGGGGUCCGAGCCUGGGUGGGCAAGCGUGGUAACAGGUGUGACGCAGAGUGGUAGUCCAACCGUGUCGUAUGGCUGAGCACGGCUAAGGGUGCAGCCCGUCUCCCAGGUAAAUCCGGGGGCGUUCGGGUCAGGCCUGAUGGGGACCGUUUGACGGGAAGUGGAUGAUCCUGUGCUGCCGAGAAAAGCAUCGACGUCAGGGCAAGCGCCGCCCGUACCCGAAACCGACACAGGUGGUCAGGUAGAGUAUACCGAGGCGUGCGAGUUAAUCGUGGUUAAGGAACUCGGCAAAAUGCCCCCGUAACUUCGGGAGAAGGGGGGCCCGGGCCUUGAUGUCCCCGUGCGGGGCGGAAGGGGCGCGGGCCGCAGAGUCCAGGGAGAAGCGACUGUUUAUCAAAAACACAGGUGCGUGCUAAGCCGCAAGGCGAUGUAUACGCACUGACGCCUGCCCGGUGCUGGAAGGUUAAGCGGACUGGUCAGCCCUUCGGGGUGAAGCUGGGAAGUUAAGCCCCAGUAAACGGCGGUGGUAACUAUAACCAUCCUAAGGUAGCGAAAUUCCUUGUCGGGUAAGUUCCGACCUGCACGAAUGGCGUAACGACUUCUCCGCUGUCUCAACCAUGAACUCGGUGAAAUUGCAGUACGAGUAAAGAUGCUCGUUUCGCGCAGCAGGACGGAAAGACCCCGGGACCUUUACUAUAGCUUGGUAUUGGUGUUCGGUACGGCUUGUGUAGGAUAGGUGGGAGACUGUGAACCGGUCACGCUAGUGGGCGGGGAGUCGUUGGUGAAAUACCACUCUGGCCGUGCUGACCAUCUAACCUCGGUCCGUGAUCCGGGCCAGGGACAGUGCCUGGUGGGUAGUUUAACUGGGGCGGUUGCCUCCUAAAGGGUAACGGAGGCGCUCAAAGGUUCCCUCAGCCUGGUCGGCAACCAGGUGGCGAGUGUAAGUGCACAAGGGGGCUUGACUGUGAGACUGACGGGUCGAGCAGGUACGAAAGUAGGAACUAGUGAUCCGGCGAUCCCGUGUGGGUGGGUCGUCGCUCAACGGAUAAAAGGUACCCCGGGGAUAACAGGCUGAUCCUGCCCAAGAGUCCAUAUCGACGGCAUGGUUUGGCACCUCGAUGUCGGCUCGUCGCAUCCUGGGGCUGGAGUAGGUCCCAAGGGUUGGGCUGUUCGCCCAUUAAAGCGGUACGCGAGCUGGGUUCAGAACGUCGUGAGACAGUUCGGUCCCUAUCCGCUGCGCGCGUAGGAGAAUUGAGAAGGGCUGUCCCUAGUACGAGAGGACCGGGACGGACGAACCUCUGGUGUGCCAGUUGUUCCGCCAGGAGCAUGGCUGGUUGGCUACGUUCGGGAGGGAUAACCGCUGAAAGCAUCUAAGCGGGAAGCCUGCUUCAAGAUAAGUUCUCCAUCCAGCCUGUGU